GGAGAGAUGGCCGAGCAUGGCUUAAGGCACACGCCUGCUAAGUGUGUGGACUCGAAAGGGUCCCCUGGGUUCGAAUCCCAGUCUCUCCGCCA
rnacentral:tRNA from 1 species